rnacentral:sRNA from 1 species
CAGUGUCAUGGCCGUCUGAACUGAUCCGGUAACGACCACCACAAAAGGCGCAGAUAUCUGCGCCUUUUUU